CCUACGGGUGGCAGCAGUGAGGAAUAUUGGUCAAUGGUCGGGAGACUGAACCAGCCAAGCCGCGUGAGGGAUGAAGGUACAGAGUAUCGUAAACCUCUUUUGUCAGGGAACAAAGGCGGGGACGUGUCCCCGGAUGAGUGUACCUGAAGAAAAAGCAUCGGCUAACUCCGUGCCAGCAGCCGCGGUAAUACGGGGGAUGCGAGCGUUAUCCGGAUUUAUUGGGUUUAAAGGGUGCGCAGGCGGUCUGUUAAGUCAGCGGUAAAAGCCCGGGGCCCAACCCCGGCCCGCCGUUGAAACUGGCAGUCUCGAGUUGGAGAGAAGUAUGCGGAAUGCGCGGUGUAGCGGUGAAAUGCAUAGAUAUCGCGCAGAACUCCGAUUGCGAAGGCAGCAUGCCGGCUCCACACUGACGCUGAGGCACGAAAGCGUGGGUAUCGAACAGGAUUAGAUACCCUUGUAGUC
rnacentral:rRNA from 1 species